AGAUUUGUUUAACACGGUUCAUGAUAUGAUAUGAUAUGAUCCUUUCAAACAUUGGGUAAAUGUCCUAAAGUAGACACCGUAGAAAAUGACAAGCCUGCCCAUCUAUGCUCACCGCAUCUUUAUGACGUUGACAGUAGUCGUCUAACGCAAGGCUUGUAUUUGAAGGUUAGUUCGGUGGACAAUGGCUAUUCUGAGCAGAAGUGCUCUGACCGUUGGGGGAAUAACUUGGCGGAGAAGAACACCCAGUGCCAUUUCCUUCGCUGACACGAAGCUAGCCAAUGCUUAAGAGUGUCGUGGAUCUUAGCUAAAGGCUGCAGCAUAGGUGGAAAUAGCUAUACACUCCAAGAAAAUUAGAACGCACAGAACUCUGUGAAUGUGUGCACAAGUUCUACAGAUUUUUUCUCAUGCGUUCUUUUUUUCCCCGUUUUCAUCCGUUCUUCUUUCAGGGUCAUUGGUUUGCUUUUUUUGAGGUCCAGACAGAUCCAUGGGGAGCCAAAAGGCCACUAGAAGGGUUUGGUCACAUCUCAAGGUGGCCGAUAUCUACGUCAGACACCAAUGUGGACUUAAACAUACGAUAACUACAGUAGAUUCAAUUUUUGAUUCUUUCUACACUUUUUAUGGAGUUCUCUUUGUACAUACAAUAUGAGAGUGCCCAUAUUAUAUACUUUCACCAUUCCCCUUUUACCAAAUGUGUUACAAGUCAAUUACCCUCUCUUCUAUCUUUUUCUUUCUGUGAGCAUGGUUAGGGCUGUGGCGGUCAUGACAUUUUGUCAGACAGUUAUUGUCAUGCAAAAGACCGCCAGUCUCACGGGUAAUUGACCGUCUGUUGACAGCCCCUCUCUCUGUGCGCUGGAGAAAGGAAUGAAGGAGAGCGAGGAGGAGAUGGAAACGCAUGGUGGUGAGGUAAUGUGUAGCUAAAGAUAAUGUAUCAGGAAAAAAAAAAGACAAUUACUAGGUUAUUCAAAAUCAAACACAAAAAAAUUUUCACAAAAAACGAACCAACAGCAUGGGCUAGGCCUGUACAUUUUCUCCCAGACUCAUGGAUAGAAGGUUUGGAGCAUAGCAAAAUGUAAGCAGUCCAUCCAAUAUGCAUGUAAGCAGUCCAUCCAAAGGCGAUUAAUAGAAUUUGUUUAAUUGUGGGAGUACGGGCUAGACCAAUUAUGUACCAAAGACAUCUUAAAUCAGUUUUUUAUUUCUUUUUCUGCCGUGUGUAAUAUGCAGUAUGCUAUGUAUUGUAAAACGGCACAAUCAUUCUUUUCAUAAAACAUUCUUUGGGGGGCUCAUAUAUAGGUCAAUGCGUAUGGAUAGGCUCUAAUGUGCACAGGGGUGUCCUGAAUGAAUCAUCACCUUAGAAAGCGCUGUCCAUUUCGUUGUGUUCGGUUUUUCUACAACGUCCAUGUUUUCUCCCUCAGUUUCAACCUGUCGUUGAACUUCUUUCUUCAAAUUGAUCGAUCGCAGUGAGGUGAGUUUUAAAAGCAUGAUAGUGUUUUGAUGAUAAGUGUUUGAUGUGAAUUUUAGAUUGCAUUUGCAUUGAUGUCAGAGCGGUUAGAGGGACAAUAGAGUACAUGGCCGUUAGUGACCUGAUGGUUAAUACUGAGUUGGGUACUACCAACGCAUGUCCAGAGAUCAGAAGAGGAGAUGACCGUGACUCAACGGUCACAUUGGAUUUUACUGCGGUUAUGACUCAUGACUGCCAGUGUGGUGGUAAUACGGGUCACCGCAACAGCCCUAACUGAGCACGGCCCUUUACUGUUACAACAUGACUGCAUCAGACCACACACAACUAAGUCAAUCGAAAGCCUACUGCACACCCUGAGUCUAGGUGGUUACUUCUGAGCUCCUUGGUUAAUCACAUUCAAGUCAACUGGGUUUUAAAAGACAUGACAGACAUGACAAGUUUGCUGUGUUGUCCCAACAACAAUAACCACCGCCCCCUAGUCCACAUUCGUCACAUUUAAGAUGAAACGGGGGUUAAGAUAACAGCGAACGGCGGGAGUAGGACAGAACACACUCGCACAAAGGUAAAGUUAGGUAGGAGAGACUCUUUGUGAGAUGGCGUGGAACACACACACCAACAUACACACAAGCAUUCAAAUGGUCUCACACCCACACACAUGGACAAGAACACAAGCACACACACAAAGACACAGACCCAUUUUCUCUGUCUCUGUCACGCACACACGCUCAGACGCUCUCACAAACAGACACAGACACACACGUUUUUAUCUCCCUCUGUCACGCCCACACGCUCGAACGCUCUCGCAAACAGACACAGACACAAACACACUCACAGUCUCCUUCACACUCACACACACGGGCGGAGAUUGCAUGCACGGUGGUUUUAACGGCUCGUCACAGCGCGGCCCUAUCUUGGUGGCCAGCUCUGCUCCGGCUCAGCACCGUCUCCUGCCACUGGCUGCAGGGGGAAAGAGGAUUAGCCCGCGGUCCACAGCAGCCGUGCCGGGCUUAGACUGGUUAGCGUGCGCGGCAUGAGAGGAAGGUGGGAUAAUGCCAUUUCAUGUCUCUCUGUUUCAGAGCAGGCGGCUCGGAGCAGUUCGGAGCUCUGGCAUGAGACAACGUGUCUCUAUCGUGACACACCGAC
rnacentral:lncRNA from 1 species